rnacentral:rRNA from 1 species
UACGUAGGCAGCAAGCGUUGUUCGGAGUUACUGGGCGUAAAGGGUGCGUAGGCGGCUAUUUAAGUUUGGUGUGAAAUCUCCCGGCUCAACCGGGAGGGUGCGCCGAAUACUGAGUGGCUAGAGUACGAGAGAGGGAUGCGGAAUUCCAGGUGUAGCGGUGAAAUGCGUAGAGAUCAGGAAGAACACCGGUGGCGAAAGCGCUCUGCUGGACCUUAACUGACACUGAGGGACGAAAGCUAGGGGAGCGAAUGGG